AGGGGCCUCGCUCAUGGACUGAUGUCAGCUUGACCCUGCCUCCUCGUCUCACGGUCGUAGGUCUCACGGAGGCCUUGAAAUGGCAGUGGAGAGAAUUCUAGAAGCUGGUACUUGUGUGACAGUAUUUUUCCAGUUUGGGAAUCCCAGACAGCUCCUUAGAGGUCAUUUCCUCCUAAAUAUUACAUAUGUAUUUAUUAUCAUUGUCCUCUGGGUCAAUGGAGACUGGGGGGAAAAAAAAAAACCAACACAGAGACGCUUUAAAAUAAGGACUUUUUUGAUCACUCAGGAAAACACUUUUUUAGCAACCUGGUGACCGGUGUCAGGCAAUCUUCCACUCUGGGAAAUGGACUCCGUUUCCUUAAAACUGUCCCUUCGGGCUCUCUGGAGUUAGCCUUUCUGCCUACUGCAGGCUUCUGGCAGGCUUGUUUUGAAUGUCCACAAACCUUUCGGGGGUCCUUUGGGCUCUGAUUUGCAGUGUUUUAAAACGUAUUAACACAACAGGUUUUUCUGGUUCUUAACGAUUUCUUUAGAUUAUGGAAAUAAUAUAUCCUUAUUCCAAAAAGAGUAGGGAAGGGAAUAAAAAAUCCCUCAUCACACAUCUUUCAGAUAAUUGCAAUGAACAUUUUUGACAAAUGUCCUUCCGGGUUUUGCCGGUGUAAGAGCACACGUGCGUGUGUGAUAUGUAUGUGCGUGAGUGGGUAAGUAACACUGGCAUCAUCUAUACUCUUUUGUGGCGUGUUUUAUGAAAACAGGGUAUCAUGAAAAUAUCACCACUUCCUUAAAUGUUCCUGAAGAACUUGGUCUUUGGUAGCAGUAGAUUCUAUCUUAAUGCUGGUCUAUAAUUCAUUUGUCAUUCUUUGAAUGUUGAUAUUGUUUUCUGAUUUUUUUUUUUAACUGGGAUGAACAUAUUGUAUACACAUCCUUGGACAGAUCUUUAAUGAUGCUUGUAGGUGAGAUUUCUAGAAGUGGUAUUCGUGGGUCAGAGGGUAAUAUAUUUUUGAGGCUGUUUAUGCCGACUUCUGCCACCAGGCCCAAAUUGGUAUUAUCACCAGCAAAACAGAAGUCUUACUGAUCUGGCUGGCAAAUUUGUUUUACACUUAAUUCUUCAGUUACUGAUUACAGUGAGUUUCUUUUUUGUGUCCUUAAUUUGGCAUUUGUCUUUCUCUCUCUUGAUACCUGCUCGUUUCCUUUGCUCAUUUUUCUACGAGCUUCAGAGCGGGCUCCUUAACUCAGAAACAGUCAUUUCCUCAGAGUUUCUAUCUGAAGGGAAGAGGAAGACAAGCGGUAGAGACGAAGAGCUGCAGGGAAGGCUGUGAAGAGACCGGGGCUGGCCCCGAUGGGAUGCCAUGGACAGCCAGACACUGGCCUAGGACCUCUGACUGGGCCAGACUGGAAGCCGAGGGCUGCACCAUGGUUGUGAAAAGACCAGUCUUUCCAGCCAAGCAAUGUUUCCUGAAGAGCCCGUGCUUCAUUUUUUUUUUUUUUUAAAGAUUUUAUUUAUUUGUCAGAGAGAGAGGGAGAGAGA